GACGAACGCUGGCGGCGUGCCUAAUACAUGCAAGUCGAGCGGACAGAAGGGAGCUUGCUCCCGGAAGUCAGCGGCGGACGGGUGAGUAACGCGUGGGUAACCUGCCUAUAAGACUGGGAUAACUCCGGGAAACCGGGGCUAAUACCGGAUAAUAUCAAGAGCUGCAUGGCUUUUGGUUGAAAGGCGGCUUCGGCGGUCACUUAUAGAUGGACCCGCGGCGCAUUAGCUAGUUGGCGGGGUAACGGCCCACCAAGGCAACGAUGCGUAGCCGACCUGAGAGGGUGAUCGGCCACACUGGGACUGAGACACGGCCCAGACUCCUACGGGAGGCAGCAGUAGGGAAUCUUCCGCAAUGGACGAAAGUCUGACGGAGCAACGCCGCGUGAGUGAAGAAGGUUUUCGGAUCGUAAAACUCUGUUGUCAGGGAAGAACAAGUACCGGAGUAACUGCCGGUACCUUGACGGUACCUGACCAGAAAGCCACGGCUAACUACGUGCCAGCCGCCGCGGUAA
rnacentral:rRNA from 1 species